UUUAACCACCACAUCAGUGACACCACCCUUUGUAAUAAUGUCAUUCUGCAGUUAGAACCAUGUUGAAGAGCCUCUCUGUAGUCUGUAAGCACUGAGGAGUUUUAGUCCAGAACUGUAAAAACUGUCUUUAACAGUAGAACCUGAUGUUAAAUAAAUGACACAGCAGCUGUGGGUUCUCUGUACUGCAGAAAAUAAGUGAACUUCAGCUGAACACAUGAAUCUUUUUCAUGUUUCUCUUACAGCUGUGAAGGAAAAAGGUGAAGAAACCAGCACAGAACGCCCAGAUAAUCGACAGAUUCAAACAACUGAAGCUCCGACCAACUGGACAGGAAGCACUACAUGGAAGUGGAUAAUAGGUGUUUGUGUUUCUGCUGUUCUUAUCAUUGUUGUGGCUGCAGGACUCGGCUAU